rnacentral:piRNA from 1 species
UUGAAGGCAAAUAAGGGCUGAUAGGAUGU